CUUCAUAACAUUCUUCAGAAAACAAAGAACAUAAGAAUUAAUUCUGGCACAGAUCAAUGCUCUUUAUUCUAUCUGUCUUCUUCUCUGAGCUACAUGAAUAUUCAUAAAAGAAGGAAUGUAAAUUGUUCAGAUCUGGGCAGAAUUAAUGUUUAAAAGCGAGCACCGCCUGUCCAAAUUGCAAUGCAUGUGAAAGGUGGUCAGCAGAGGCAUCAUCACAUCAAUCUACUGUCGCAAAAAGCCCAGGCUUAAGGAAUGUGCAACAAUACUUCCAGAGGAAACAUCAAGAGUCAAGAUCUGGAUUUCAGGCUUCAGGGAAUGCUUUAUUUGACCAACUGAUCUGCUGCAGAGGAUCAUACUAUAUUUAUCAGACUUCUCAUGAGCCUGUGUGCACUGAGAACAUAACCCAACAUGCCUAAUAUUCUCCAGUGGCUGAACAUUGCUAAGGAAGGCAGGCAGUAGUGGACAAUUUGCCUUCAGGGAACCUGGAAGACAAUUAUGAACCAUCUUUCUAUGUGUCCAUCAUUAUUUUGCUAGGAUCUAAGAAAAGGGAACUGCUCCCAAAAGUGAUAUGAAAAAAAAGCAAUGUUCUCUGAAGAUACGGAUUCCAGAGAAAGUAUCUCUCCAUUCUUCCUGAGGACAAAGGAAAAGAUAGACAAAAUACUGAAAAGCAUCUACAACUUUAAACUAUUCUCAUUGUUGUCAGCAGCUAAUGGCCAGACACAGGAAUGUAGCCGGUCUUUCCCUUGCCAGUUUGGAGAGCUUUCAUUGUAUUGAAUGGAAAGACUGCCAUCUCUCUGUGAUCAACAAGGCACCCCUCCUCUUCAUCGCCUCUUCGGGGCAAUUUUAGGCCCUUUUUAGGCCCCCAGCAGGGCAAAAUCGAGCACGGAAGGCAGAGCCCUGCCUUUCUGCAUCCUCUUUCACUGCAAUGCAAACUGGAAAUCCUCAAAAAUUAUAAACUUUUCUUACAGACCACUGUCAAACCUGGAAAAAAUACAGCACAAGAACAUAACAUUUUCACCUCAAAGCCUGUAUAAACAUUGUGGAGUUCAUGAUUGUUGCCACUACAAAUUUUCCUACAUUAGCUCCUUCAUCUCUUUGGGCCAGUGGGUUGUCCUCUGCUUUACAACUUUACUAUUUAAGAUCUCGAGUUGCAUAGUAACUUUUUUCAACGGUAUCCCCAAUGUUAUGGAAUUAGCUCUGCAGGAAAGCCCCUAAACUAUUUUAUUGUCUACUUUUAUUGUCUAAUUCUUCUAACAUUUUAGAAUUAAAUUAAAUUACUGUUGUUUUCUUCUUUUCUCUUAUAAAAUGUUGUGUUUAUUCUAUACUAUUACCAUAGAAUUAAUUAAACAAAUGUCAUAUUUAUUGUUUUAUUACAAUUGAUUUUUCUCCUGCAUGUGCCACAAGCAUGUGAUAGCAUUUAGAAUCUUUCAAAUUAACAAGUGUGAAACAAUAGUUGGCUUAUUGUUAAUAUGUGAAUAAGUUGUAGCAAAAACCUGUUUAUACUGAGGCUGUUAAUAUAGUAUAUUUCUUGCUUCUAUUUGCUUUUUUAAAAUUUUUAUAUCUUAGUAUGUUUAGUAUGUUUUCAAAAGAUUAAGUUUGAUUUCAUAGCACUAUUUCACUUUGCAGGGUGAAGAGCAUCUUAAAUCUUUAGAGAUUUACAGAAUCCAAUUAAUUAUUUAAUGCUCUAAGGGAUUUUCCAGAAGCAACUGCCAGCGAUCCUGUGGAUGUCUUUGUCGAUCUAUGGAAUAGGAAAACAGAACAGGCUACAAAUACAAUUGCCUGUAAGUACAUUUUCUGGCAUGAGAACAGAUCGGCCCAAGGCACUCACAAAAAAAUAAAACAUUAUAAUAUUCUUCCCUUUCUAUUCAUCUCUGGGUAGGCUUCUAGGAACAGCCUGGAAUGAGAAUGGUUAAUACUCCCAAAAAAUCUCUUUGAGUUCCAAUUAAUAUAAUUUCAAAUGAGGAAUCUAUGUAUGGUUAGAGUAGGAAGGUCAUGUUUAUCUUUCUUAACUGCUUUCUAUGAAAAAGAGAGGAGGUUUGUCUCUUUUGUGAAGGACCAGAAGUCUGCAUCCAUUGAUGGUUUGGAAAUAGCUGCUAGACUUCUUACCAAUCUGAUAAACAAUUUCACAGUGUCCAGCAUCUAAUUAUCAAAUAAUUAAUACAAGAAAGGCUUAUUUUUAGUAGUCACAAUGUAUGAAUUCAUCCAUUCAGAUGUACUUAAUUAUUACCUGCUAUGGCUGUGGUUAUAACAAAUAAAAUAAAAUUUGCAGUAUACUAAUAUAAAUCUCAAAAUUGUUAAUACAUGUAUUGUUUUUAAAAAUAUCUAAUUCAUAAUUUAAUGCCAGUCUUCCCAGGCAAGCCAAAUAUGACCAGAUGAAUGCAUUCUACUCUGUUGUAAAGUUCCAUUAACAGAAUCUUCUAAGUCUGAAAGUACAAAUUUCCCACAUCACUUUUAACAGCCUGACCAAUUACGUCAGUUCCUUCCUAAAUUUCUUCCUUUGACACUUCCACCAUUGUGGGCUCCUCCUUCUCUUUUCGGAUCAUUCCUUAGGCAACAUCACUUUCCCUCAUCCCUCCAGGUCAUUCCCACGUAUCAUUUCAGGUAGUAAUAUGGCCGAAGUUGGAACUGGAAUUUCUAUUGUUCAGUCAAUGCAAUCAUAAGGUGAGUCAUCCCAUAACUGGACCUGAUUUUACAAUACUUUUUACAUGGUCAUUAAAUGGUUAAAUGAAUCACAUAUCACUAAGUGAAUCAACAGACUUUGCUUGUUAGAAGCCAGAUGGGAAGGUCACAAAUUGUGAUCCCAUGGCCACGAGACACUGCACUUGAUGUAAAUGUCAGGAAUUGCCAAGUGCCAGAAUUGCAGUCAUGUGACUGUUCAAGUGCUGUAAAUUGAAAAUUUGAAGACAGGUUGGAACUGUCAUAACUUUGAACCAUCAUUAAACAAACAGUUGUAAGUUGAGGACUAUCUAUACAUCUAGUGUAGGAGUCUCUUUUAACAGAUAUCUAUAUUGACUGGUACACUUUAGUGCAGUUCUGAGCAAUUUUUCUAUUUACUGUAUAAUUAUUACAAAAAUAUAUAAUUAUGUGAAUUAUUAUGCAGUAUUAUAUAUAAUAUAAUUAUAAAAUAUUACUAUAUUCUGGUUCUAUACACCACCCAGAGUUCAUUGGAAUUGGGUAGCUAUAUCACUUUUGAAUAAAUAAAUAAAUAAAUAAUGCAAUAAUAUAAUAUAAUAUAAUAUAAUAUAAUAUAAUAUAACAAUAUAAUAUAACAUAACAUAACAUAAUAGCUAACAAUAAAAAUAUUUUUGUUCAUAAUUUUGCAAAUUUGCUUUCUUCAAUGCUGGAAGAGGUUGAUUUGAUAUUUUUAGCUUUUUUGUACUGGAAGAGGGAUAAACUCUUGGUUAUCCAUCCAUCCAUCCAAUCAUCUAUUAUUUUUAAAUAUUAAUGUACUAUGUUUUUUAACAUUCUCUUUUCCUUCUGAAAGAACCUGAAAUUGAUAUGGAAAUAUGGGGAAUGGCUUUGGAAAAAAUGCACUAUAAAGUACUUAUUUUCUAAUAUGCUUUUCUUUCACUAUUGAAGUGUUUUUUAAGAAUAUUAAUUUGGAUUUACGGAAAUAAUUUCUCCUUCUAGAUCUAGCAUCUGCCCCAUAAAGGUUUUUAGCCUGGGACAAUUAAAAAAAUAGGAUGUAGGGAAAUCUAAGAUUUAAGAUAAGUAAAUAAGGGCUACCCCCUGCCGCCACUGUUUCACCAUAAAAUAUGCAGUCCUUGAUCAACACUAUUUCUACAGGAUCAAAACUUUAAAAAUCCAGGAUUGUUCUAUGCACUAAAUUUCACAGUUCCUCCCCUAUAUAGUUUGCAGUGCAGAGGUGCUCAUUUUAUAAACCGGGAAUUUACAUGCAUUGAUCUUAACAAUGUUAAGUCUCACUUGUUAUUGUCUUGUCCAAUCACUUAGUUUCGAACAACCUUUCUACCUUGUACUAAUAUUUGCACUGUUAUUUAUUUAUAAGAUUUCUUUCCAUUUCAAGUUGUACAAAAUGUUGCUGUUAAUGUAGUAAUAUUUCAAACAGUUAGGUUACAUUAAGCAGUUUUUUUUUUAAAUCUAAGGCUUCAGUGUUAAGACUAAAACUUAUUUCUGAGUAGGUUUAUAUGAUGUCAAAUUCUGCAGUUUGCUCAAGAUUUCAUCCGACAGAACUGUGAUGCCAAUUAAUGAAUGAUAUUUAAAAACCUCUUAUUUUAACCUAUUUUAGCCACAUAUCCUACAUUAAUCGAGAAAAAGAGAGGAAAUCAUAGACCCCUUUCCAUUAUAAAGAGCUUACACUAGCAAUCCAGUUUUUUUCUAUUGAAGACACAGCACUCUUUGUCUCCUUGCUUGAUUGGGAUCUCAGAGAAAUGACACUACCAUACUGCAAAUGGAAGAAAGAACAUUUAUAUUUCAGACUAAAAAAUAGCUAUUGAAAGGGCUAGCCAAACCAUUUAUGGAUCUGCUUAAAUCCAUUUCUAUGCAGGUCUAUUUACCAAUAUUAAUUUUCAAAAUGAAUAUUCAAGCUGGCUCAAUAAUUGACCCCGGUUCUGUCCCAGUUCACAACUUGGGGGUCCUCCUGGAUUCAUAUCUCUUGCUCGAAGAUCAAGUUGCUCUGUUUUCUUUUUUUGGUCUAUUUUAUUGUUUUAUUAUUUAUCUUAUUCUAUUAUUUUACUUUUGCUUUGUUUAAACUUUCUGUUUCUAGGCCCUAUGUUGAGAUGGGCAGCAAAUAUAUUUAAUAAUAAUAUUAAUUCAACUUUCCUAGAUAUAUUCAUCUAUGCAUAUUUUUGUAAGUCAGCAGUUAUAAUGGACUAAUAAUGCCAUUUAUUGCAAUGCUGGUUUAUCAGAGAGAACAACUGCAUUAAAAAUAUUUGUAAUGAAUCUCUGCCUCAAAAAAAAGAAAGCCAACCUUGGGAAAUUAUGUCUAUAAAAGAAUGCUGGAAACAGUGACAGAAAGAGGCUGUUUUAUCUUUACUAGUUUGCUAGAGAUUUUUGCUGCUAUAUACAUCCCUUCUGCCAUCCUUUUUAAACUUCUCAAGAGCCUCUCCUUUGCAGGUGGGUAACCUGUCGCUUUCAUCUGACAGCCAGGGGCAGCAGGAAGUUCUCUAGACCCGUUAAAUCAAUACCUUAGAAAUAGAAAUGUGACCCUUUUAGACUACAUUUACUUGUUUUUUCAGAAGAACUCUUUGGUUGUAGGAAUAGUAAUUACUAAAGGAAGCCUUCUUUGUGGUUGCACUACAUCUGGGCUUUGAUACCUGCUCCCUAAGGGAGCUGUCCAGUGUUCUGAUCUCUUGCAACUAUGUGAUUCUGCUUUCAAUGCUGCCAGUAUCCCUGCAAGGUUUCAGUUAUUACUGUAAUAUCAGCCUUCAUUUUCACCUUGCACAACCUGGUAAACUCUACAACACUACCCAAGGCAUCAGAUAUUAGGCAUAAUCAAAACAGCAAAGUAGACAGAAGAUAGUAACAAAAUGGCCAAUGGAACCCAAACUAUCCUUACUCUGUUCAUUUCAAUGUAUCAUGUGUAGGAGAAUUUCUCAGUGGAAUAGCCAUCUUGUUUAAAUAAUCAGAGUGAAUGUCUAUUUGGAUUUCCUACUGGAACUGCCUUUACACAUUUUAAUGGCUGCUUGGGUCAUUAGAGCAAUCACCCAAUACAGUGCUUGAAAAGACAAAUUAUGUACUAAAUGAGAGAUAUUUUGGAUUGCUGCCAAGAUUUCUGACCAUUAGCAAUGCUGGCUGGAGGGAAAAGUAAUUACCAUCUAUAACAUUUGAAAGGUAGUAAUUUGCCUACUUAUAUACUAAACAGAUAGGACGAAAGUAGUAAUGCCUCCCCAAAGAAAAACAAAAACUGAAACAUAACAUUAUUGGAAAAAUGUAACAUUCCCAAAACAAUUUGUUUUUGUUGAAAGAGGAUUCUUAGAUCAUUUGUAAUAUUGUAGUAACAACUGCACAUUUAUUGUAUCAAAUAGCAAGAAUAAAAAAAUGGGAGUUUUUAAUUACAACACAAUGAGGUGAAGUUCACUCAAGCAAUUAGAAAAGCCAAGGUAGAACUAGUUUUUUUAAACCUAAAAAUCUGAUUUCUAACAAAAAUAAUAACCAUUCUUCUUGUAAUAAUAUUAUUUAUAAGAUGAGCAAACACCAAAUAUAAUAUCAUAUACUCCUACUUGCAAAUAGACUCCUUUUAAAUCAAUGGAAUUCAUUUUUUUAGUAAAUAUGUGGUGGAUUGCAUUAGUAGGCACCAUCAUCAUUAGGACAAAACCCCCAGAGGACUGACCCAAUCCACAUAACUGGAUUACUUGUUUGAAAAACUGUACUAUAGAAUUUGUAUUUUUAUAUGCAGAUAUAAACUUGUCAAGUUUAGUUAUUAAUCAAAUUGGCUAAAAUGGAAAAAUGACUUCAGUACAAAUGUGAAUCAGUAUCUCUGCCAUUAACAUACAUAAUAAUACUUCACAUUCUGGCUCUUUUGUUUUGAAUUUCUUUUGUGAAAAAUUAAUUGAAAUGAUUCAAAAAUUAAGUUACUAUUAUUCACCUGAGAAUAAAAAGUGGGGAAACGUCUUAGUAAAUUGAUUACAUUUCUCUUUUAUUUUAAAAGGAAUGUUUAACUCUAUCACAAAAAAUAUUUUUGUCAAAACUGGCAUAGAAAAUACAUUUUCAUAUUAUCACACUUAUUAGUUAAAAGUUAGUCCAUCUUGCUGUAAUGUGUAUAACAAUCUAUGCAUUACAUGCUGCCUUAUUUGUAAAGCUACAAAAUGCAUGUCUCCUCCAGUUACUGAUUUAACUUUUACAGACUCAAAUGAAAUCUGAAAUCUUUUACUAAUGCACAAUUAUAAAAUGAAUAAAAUUAGAAAAUAAAAUGUGAUUGAGUUUGUAAUAUAUAUAGGAUAUAGUAUUUUCUUCACAGAAUUUCCAUUACCAUUAGUGAAUCUGGUGUGUAUUAUAGUAUAUUUUUGUUGGACUGCAUUUUGAUUGCUGGAUUUUGUUCUCCUUUUGAUUGGAUUUGAAGAACAAUUUUUUUAUACUAUAUUGUCAAUAUAGAUUCCUUGUUUCGGUUCAUUUUUUCUGUUUUAGUUACUAUUUCUAUCCUACCUUUCAGGAUAACUAAUCUCUUAAAGUGAUUUAUAAGCAAUGUGAGGAAUUUAAAAUAAAACACAAUUAAAAUUAUUUAAAACAAACCAAGAAAAGAUCCCUGUAAAGCUGUUGUAAUUUAUGCCUGUGAGGAAAUGGGGUGAAAGAAUCCAGCUGAACAGAUUUUCCCCUGCCUUUCAAUUUAUUUCUUUAUGGAUCCUUCCCAUAGAGAAGAUGUAAUAUAUUUCUCAAGAGGCAAAAUAUUAAUUUUUUAUAUGUCUGUAGUUGUAGGAACUCUAUAAUUUUCAGUCUUUUUCUUUAUUAUAUUUCCAGGUACACAUAAGCUUCUUAAAAUAAUCUGCAUACUCAGACUUUGUAAUUAGGUCAAUUUAGAAAAACAAAAAUAUUUUAUUUUCUCCCUUCACUGAAUUAUAGUAUAUGAAUUAUGAAAACUAAUGUAUGCCCUAUAAUUGAGAAAAUGUAAUUGAUCAAAUUAAAAAGGUGGUACUAAAAUUUUAUAUGGCAUGCCAUCUGAGUAACUAACUCCCUACUUGCCAUUGCUAUUUAUAUUGCUGGCAUACUAUAUUGCCAGCAUUAUUUAUAAUCUCUCAGAAGAUAUUAACAAAGAUACUGUUUAGAAGUUUUAAUUUUGUUACAUAUAGUUUUACAGUACAACUGUACUUGAUUCUCCCUGGCACUCGUAUAAAAACAAUGUUAGAUUGGAAUAUGCAGUACUUAGAAAGUCAAUGGAGAGCUGAAGGAAAAAUAUUGUUAAGAAAUUAAGGUUGUACAAUAACUUGAUCAAAACUAAGAAUUACAUGAACAUGUACAGUAUGCUUAUUUUUCUACCAAAAUUCAUCAAAUAUUUCAAACUUCGUAGUGAAUCAGAAACAUCUGACUUUCAUUUUUCAGAAACACAACAUUUAUACUAUCUAAAUUAUUAUACAUUUGGAUUUUCCCAUAUAUGUAUGAAUUUCAUUCUCAUGAAGUUAAUACGAUUAUUUUGAUAGGGCAUAAAACAAAUUGGAAGAUUUGGAUUCUAUGAUCUGUAAAAAAUACUGUAUAACAAAUAUAUUUAUUUAUACAUGUAUAAAGAUAUGUAGCUGGGGUGAGGAUAUCCAAAUGUUUAAGAAAAAUUUUUUGACCAUUUUAGUAUUUUUAAGGAGACUUUGAGGAAAAAAUAGUAUAAACCCUUAACAAAUUGAUAGUUUAUUAUCAUUAAAAACAUAGUUCUUCGAUUUCUAAAUGAAAAUUAACUAAGUUUAGUUCUUAUAAUUGAAAGUUUUCAGGCACAUAUAAUAAACUACCUUUAAAAACUACAAUGAGGAUGAUAGUCAAUUAUUUUUAAAAAAAAUACUCCAUUUUUUUCUGCUUUUUCACUAGCAAAAAUUAAAGUAUGCUGUUAGGAUGCAGAAAUUGUAGUGCUGAUUGUAGCAGUGAAUAUAUUUUUGCUUUUUGAAAAAAUAGAUCAAACAGUAUUAUUUUAUAAUUUAAAUUUCAGUGUAAAUGAUAUAUUUCAUUACAAAGUAGUAAAACAAACUUAACUUCAAAGUAAUAAAUGAAAUUUAGGUAUAAAGCUAUUCUAAAUAAAAUAUUACAGCAUAAUGAAAGCAUAACACUGCAGAAAUAAUAGAAAAAUAAUAAACUGCUUCACAGUUUUCACCACUUACCAUCUUACAAUAUCAGAAGUGAAUAAAAGGAUUCUUUCUCAUAAUCCUUUAAAAUACAGCAGUAACAUUUUUUCAUGGUAUUUCAUAUCCAUGCAUCAGUAUGUGGGCAUCUAUCUAGAAGCACCUUUGCUUCAAUUUUAGUGAAACACGGUAGAAAACAAAAUUAUGUAAUCUGCUUUUAUGAGCUUUGAUGAUGUACUAAACUAUUCUAACCAUGUUAUAUGAAAACUUUUAUUUAACUAGAAUGAUGAUUUAAUGUAGUUAGAUUUUAACCUAAUUUAUAACUAUCAAGAAUUAGGAAAUAUUUAUUUCAAAUGUUACAUUUCCUAAUCAGCUUUUUUUUUAAAGGCACCAAUAACAUUAUGGUAGAUGCUAUUCUAUGGUCCAAAUCAUAUAAUUAUCACAAUUUCAAAGUCCAUAUAAUGAUCAUUUUCUAAUGAUUGUAAGUCUGCAGAACCACUACACACAGAACUACAAUAUAUUCACUCAAAAACCGUAGUGGAACUUACUCCCAAAUUUAAAUAGUAAUAGGAUUGGAGUCUUAAAGUAUUGCACUUCAUGCUAAAAGCUGAAUCUAAAAACCCCAAUAUUUAUACAAACUCACUGUUGCAUAUUAGGAGGCUGUAUGAAUGAAGCCUUUAGAAAGGGAGUAACCCCACUGAGUCUUAUAAAAUUAAUUUCUGAUAGGAGUAUAUACAUCACAUUUCUUUCAGAAUUAACUUUUUCAAUACUGAAAAUUGUUCAUACAUACAAAUCUUUUUUUCUCUAGAAAGUCCUUUCCUCAAAUUCUCAACAAUUUUUCUGAAUUAUGGACAUGUUUGAAUUCUGAGGCUUUUUCUGAGAACUAAACAUAAAAUAUAUUUGCAUCAUACAUAUCACAAUAAUUUAAUAAAAUUGUCAUAUUUUUAAAAAGUAUAUACCAUACUAUGAAAAAGUUGUUUAUUUCAGUCAAAGAAUAAAAUUAGGCAAUUGUGUAUUAUAUGUUUGCAUCUACUAGAAUUCAUAAUAAAAAUAUUAGAAGACCACAAACAAGAAAAAGAAAAUAGAAAAAGCAAUUAAAAUUGUAGAAUUAAGCCAUAUGUGAAACACUUACUUACAUCUUUUGUGUACAAACUUUCCCUGGGUGAAUAUUAGCUGAAUUGUUACUGUUUUCUUUUAAUUUUCCCAUUCUUUUUACAACUGUAAUAUUUUACAUUUUUAAUUUAUUCUUUUUACACAUAUAGUAUUUGAUUUUUAUAAACUGUUCUGAAAUGCUUUUGUAUAGAAAUUAUAGACAUAUCUGAGAAAAAGAAACAACUACUGAAUAAUUACACUGUUAAUUGAUCAUCACUGUUUUAAUACUAUAUUUGUCUUUAGCUUGAAAUAUUUUAGAAUUCUUGUGGUUUUUAAAGUUUUCAUUUCAUAUAUCUUAUAAACAUUCUUAGAUUUUCAAUAUGAAUAUAUUCAUAUUGUAUUUAAUUGAUAAAUGUUUAUAACUUUUUAUAAAUAAAAUAUUAUUCUUGUUAUUGUAGUAAAAAUGCAAUUAUAGUUUCUUGGAUUAAUAAAACCUCUAUAUUCAUACAUUGUUAGCAUUUAUAUUCUCUUCCAGUUUAGAUUUCUAUUCUGUCUUCUUCAGAUUGGAAGCAGUUUCUAAUGUUCCUGAUAUGGAUUGUCCCGUAUUUUUAUAUGGGAAUCUGGGAAUGAUAAGCAAAAUUGGGACAUUUUGUAAGCAAAGCACUUAUUACUCUUUAAAUGUACUGACUUUCUAUAAUAAGCAAUUUACCGAGCUGCAUUCUGUUAUCUAAACUGACAAAUCUAGACAUUACUUUUUAAUGAAAAGAAUAUUUAAGGAUUUUUUAAAAAAAUGAAUGUGUAUUUAAAUCCCUUUUAUCUGCCUGUAUCUUUUUAGAGUUAUGAUCUAAAAAUACAGAUAACUUUUGCUAAUAUAGGAAAGGAAAUUAAAAGGUAAGACCAUAUGUGAAUAUAGACAAUUUUUCCACAAAUUUACAGAGUUCAUCCCAACUUUUUCCUUUAGAUUGAUUAUGACAUCAUGAUCAAAAUAGUUUAAUAAAUUAAGGUUUGGCAAUGCAUGCUGUUACUGUGGAAUGUAUUAUCUCCUAGUUGUUGCUACCAAGACAUAAAAACACUAUGAAAUUUGGCAAUUUUCAUAAUUCAAUGAAAUUGUAUUAUUCCCCUGAAAUCUUGCAAAAUAUUGGGUGAAAAAACUCAAAUCCUAAGAGAACUGAUUAUUCAAAAUUUAAAGUAGUUUUAAGGUUUCUUUUUUUUUUAUCCUAUAUCACCUCUUGGAGCAUUAGUGAAAGAAAUAUUGCAUUACAGAUAUGAGAAAAACAAAUUGUCCUUAUCCCAAUACUCCUAGCUUUUCUAAAUACAUCUAUACACAAAAAAGAUACUGAUUUUAUUAUUAUAUGGGAAGACUAAUUUAAGAGAGGUAGCUAGAGGUUGAAACAACAUAAAGACUUGUGGCACAUUAAAGAUUAAUAUAUAUAAUUACCACCAACGUAGAAGUAUUCACAAAAGCAUUUUUCAAUCCUUUUUUUAUUGUGGAUGUACUUAAGAGAAAGAGCCUCUGAACUCAAUGAAACCUCUAUUAAAAUUUGCAUAAUAUCAUACAAUUUUUACUAGAUUGUGAAAUACUUUUGGAUUAAAACAGCAUGUUCAUAUAAAGCAUUUAUGCAAAUUAAAAUCAAACUUUGUAUCAAUGUAUUAGAAACCACAGUGAGUCACAUAGGUUUAUGUAAAAAUAGAGGUUUAGGGAAUAUAACUCCAGGUUUGGAAAGAAAAAAAUAUAUUGGAUUUGUAAAUAUACGAUGCUGUAUUAAUGCAUAUGAGAUAAGGUUGUACCUUCCUUUUUUUAGCAAUACUCUUGUGAUAUGCCGUGUGAUACAUCCAAUGUGUCUGUUAACCACAUACUAUUGCUGGAAAGGUCUCUCCUAUUGAAAUCUUGUCAUAUACCUAUUAGUUACAAAAACCAUGUAGAAAAACCUCACAUGGUGUUGGACCAGCAAACAAAGAAAAUUAUUAUUGGCAAAUGAACAAAAUGGGAAAAAAUAAAACAAUAAUAUAAUAUUUAUUUUUGUGCAAACUAAUGGUAAAAAGUUUAUUGUAAACUCUAAUAAAUACAGGUAAUCCUCAAUUUAUAACUAUUUAUUUAAUGUCCAUUCAUAAUUAUGACAGUGUUGAAAAAAGUGACUUAUGAUUGAUCCUUGCACUUACGGUCGUUGCAGUGUCUCCAUCAAAAUUCAGGCACUUGACAACUGGUGUAUAUUUACAACAGUUGCAGCAUCUUAUGGGAUCACAUGAUCACUAUUUGUCACCUUCCCAAAGGGCUUCUCACAAGCAAAGUCAAUAAGGAAAGCUGGAUUCAGUUAACAACCAUGUCACUUGCUUAAUGAUUGUGUGAUUCACUUAACAACUGUGGCAAAACAGUCAUAAAAUCAAGCACAACUCACUAACUGCGUUGCUUAGUGAUGGAGGUUCCCCUCCCAAUAGUGAAAGGGGUAGCAUAUAAAUUAAUUAUCAUCACUAAUUUGGUUUAAGAGUUUUCCAUAUAAUAAAAAGAAUUCUCCUAUAUGAUUGCAGAUCUUUUCUCUAUUUUGUAUUGCUGCCUAUAACAUGAUUUACUCAAAGAUCCCAGUUUCCUUCUAAUUGAAUUUGCUUUUGUAGAAUCAUACAUUGCUUAGCAAAAAGCUAUAUAAGCUGAUAAAGUGCAUUUUUAUUCAUUUUUGCGUUAGCAUCACUAGGGGGCAGAUACAACUGUAACUAAUGCCAUGGCAUGUCAAGGAUGUGGGAGUUAUAACUUCCUGUUUUCUGCACCUUUUUCUUUUCUAGCAAAUUAUUUCCUGCCUACAUUCUUAUCAAAGUGAAGCUCAGAUAACUUUCAUAACCUAUCUACUAGGCCAGAUAAUCCUGCUAUAUUGGAAGAAUGUAGUAGUAUUCAGCACAGUUUGCAGCUUCUACAACUUGAAGGAAGGUCAGAAACCAUGCUUUUGGGCUUUAUAUGAGCAGUGUGAUAAUUAAUCCAUGUUUGUUAUGAAAAGUUUUGAUUAGAUCUUAGCUAUAGCACAUGUGCCUGUUUAAAAUAAAUUCACCAUAAUUAGAAGUGUUUAACACUAACAUGAAUUCACUGGAAAAUAAGCCUGAACGCAAUAGGACAGCAUAGAAAACAGCAUAUAGGAGGAUUACAUUUUAAACUCUGCAAUCCUAUGCCUGUUUAUUUGGGAUACUUAAAACUUGAACCAACUUCUGAGACUAUGUAGAUGUAUAGGACUGUGUUCUACUAACAAACUCAGUGCCUGACUAUACCAGUUAUAAAGCUUGUGCCAGUAAAGCUGCUGGGCAGCAGAAUAAUUUAAGUCAUACAACUUGUACUUGCAUGGUUUAAGUUUGAUAUAGUGUUGUGUCAACCCAGGUUUUUUUUUUUUUAAUAAACUAUGCUUAAGAAAAUCAAAAUUAGUAUUUUCUGUUCACUAUUCGUUUUGUUAUCACAUAAAUGGUUGAAACAUUUUAGUUAUAAAAUCGAAACUUGC